AGGACGAACGCUGGCGGCGUGCCUAAUACAUGCAAGUCGAACGGUCUUUCUAUGGAAGCUUGCUUCCACUGAGAAGAUAGUGGCGAAACGGGUGAGGUAACACGUGGGUAACCUGCCCAUAAGAGGGGGGAUAACAUCCGGAAACGGGUGCUAAUACCGCAUAGUUUUCUUGAUCGCAUGAUUGAGAAAGGAAAGACGGCCUUUGUGCUGUCGCUUAUGGAUGGACCCGCGGCGUAUUAGUUAGUUGGUGAGGUAACGGCUCACCAAGACGAUGAUACGUAGCCGACCUGAGAGGGUGAUCGGCCACAUUGGGACUGAGACACGGCCCAAACUCCUACGGGAGGCAGCAGUAGGGAAUCUUCCGCAAUGGACGAAAGUCUGACGGAGCAACGCCGCGUGAGUGAAGAAAGGUUUUCGGAUCGUAAAACUCUGUUGUCAGAGAAGAACAAGUUGGAGAGUAACUGCUCCAGCCUUGACGGUAUCUGACCAGAAAGCCACGGCUAACUACGUGCCAGCCGCCGC
rnacentral:rRNA from 1 species